rnacentral:rRNA from 1 species
UACGUAGGGGGCAAGCGUUGUCCGGAUUUAUUGGGCGUAAAGAGCGUGUAGGCGGCCUGAAAGGUCAGCUGUGAAAACUCGAGGCUUAACCUCGAGACGUCGGUUGAAACCAUCUGGCUAGAGUCCGGAAGAGGAGAGUGGAAUUCCUGGUGUAGCGGUGAAAUGCGCAGAUAUCAGGAAGAACACCCGUGGCUAAGGCGGCUCUCUAGUACGGUACUGACGCUGAGACGCGAAAGCGUGGGGAGCGAACAGG